rnacentral:sRNA from 1 species
UUAUUUUCGAUUUAUGAGUUUGGCUGUCUCUUUGGUAUCUUUCGUCCAUGUUUUAUUACUAGGGAUCUAAACAAAGAGGGACGAAAGAUACCAAAGGGACAGUCAAACUCAUAAAUCUA